AAUUCAAAAAAAACCUUAAAAAAAUUGAAAGGAAAUUCAUAAUAAACCUUAAAAGAAUCCUUAAGAACUCCUAAAAAAUAUUAGAAUAAUUAUAAAUAUAUCUUAAAUAAAUCUCAACUAAGCUUUAAUUUAAUCCUAGUUGAAAUCUUAAAAGACUUCAAUCGAAUCCUAGAUAAAUCUUAAAUCCUAAACCAAACUCUAAAUUAAAUCUUAGAAAAAUCCUAAAUUCUAAACCAAAUCCUAAAUCAAAUCUUAAAAAAUCCUAAAUUCUAAAUCAAACCAUAGACAAAUCUUAUAUCAUAAACCAAAUCCUAAAUCCUAAAUCAAAUCCUAAAAAAAUUCUAAAUUCUAAAUCAAACCUUUAAUCAAAUCUUAAUCCUAAACCAAAUCUUAAACAAAUCCUAAAUCCUAAAUCAAAUCCUAGACAAAUCCUAAACUCUAAACCAAAUCCUAGACAAAUCCUAACCAACUCAAUCUAAUCUAGGCACAGUUUAGAACCUCAAUAUCUAUCAAUCAAACUAUUUAUCUUACCUAAAAAUUUAUACAUCUUUCAACAAAUAAGUUGAAAAUAAAUACAAAAAAUUUGAAGAUAAUUUCACUUAUUGAAUAAAAGAAAAAU
rnacentral:lncRNA from 1 species